GUCUAUAGCCAUACCACCCUGAACAUGCCCAAUCUUGUCUGAUCUCAGAAGCUAAGCAGGGUCAGGCCUGGUUAGUACUUGGAUGGGAGACAAAAUGCUGAGAUUACAGGGGUGAGCCA
rnacentral:rRNA from 1 species